rnacentral:rRNA from 1 species
CGUCUAGGCGGCAUUGCAAGUUCGGUGUGAAAUCUCCCGGCUCAACUGGGAAGCCGCAUCGGAAACUGCAAAGCUAGAGUCUUGGAGGGGUGUGUGGAAUUCCCGGUGGAGUGGUGGAAUGCGUUGAGAUCGGGAGGAACACCAGAAGCGAAGGCGGCACACUGGCCAAGUACUGACGCUGAAGCGCGACAGCGUGGGGAGCGAACG